UGGAGGUAUCAGAAGUGCGAAUGCUGACAUAAGUAACGAUAAAGCGGGUGAAAAGCCCGCUCGCCGGAAGACCAAGGGUUCCUGUCCAACGUUAAUCGGGGCAGGGUGAGUCGACCCCUAAGGCGAGGCCGAAAGGCGUAGUCGAUGGGAAACGGGUUAAUAUUCCCGUACUUGGUGUUACUGCGAAGGGGGGACGGAGAAGGCUAUGUUGGCCGGGCGACGGUUGUCCCGGUUUAAGCGUGUAGGUGUGUGUUCCAGGUAAAUCCGGUUCACUUUAACACUGAGGCGUGACGACGAGGCACUACGGUGCUGAAGCAACAAAUGCCCUGCUUCCAGGAAAAGCCUCUAAGCAUCAGGUAACACGAAAUCGUACCCCAAACCGACACAGGUGGUCAGGUAGAGAAUACCAAGGCGCUUGAGAGAACUCGGGUGAAGGAACUAGGCAAAAUGGUGCCGUAACUUCGGGAGAAGGCACGCUGACACGUAGGUGAAGUGAUUUACUCAUGGAGCUGAAGUCAGUCGAAGAUACCAGCUGGCUGCAACUGUUUAUUAAAAACACAGCACUGUGCAAACACGAAAGUGGACGUAUACGGUGUGACGCCUGCCCGGUGCCGGAAGGUUAAUUGAUGGGGUCAGCGCAAGCGAAGCUCCUGAUCGAAGCCCCGGUAAACGGCGGCCGUAACUAUAACGGUCCUAAGGUAGCGAAAUUCCUUGUCGGGUAAGUUCCGACCUGCACGAAUGGCGUAAUGAUGGCCAGGCUGUCUCCACCCGAGACUCAGUGAAAUUGAACUCGCUGUGAAGAUGCAGUGUACCCGCGGCAAGACGGAAAGACCCCGUGAACCUUUACUAUAGCUUGACACUGAACAUUGAGCCUUGAUGUGUAGGAUAGGUGGGAGGCUUUGAAGUGUGGACGCCAGUCUGCAUGGAGCCGACCUUGAAAUACCACCCUUUAAUGUUUGAUGUUCUAACGUGGACCCGUAAUCCGGGUUGCGGACAGUGUCUGGUGGGUAGUUUGACUGGGGCGGUCUCCUCCUAAAGAGUAACGGAGGAGCACGAAGGUUGGCUAAUCCUGGUCGGACAUCAGGAGGUUAGUGCAAUGGCAUAAGCCAGCUUGACUGCGAGCGUGACGGCGCGAGCAGGUGCGAAAGCAGGUCAUAGUGAUCCGGUGGUUCUGAAUGGAAGGGCCAUCGCUCAACGGAUAAAAGGUACUCCGGGGAUAACAGGCUGAUACCGCCCAAGAGUUCAUAUCGACGGCGGUGUUUGGCACCUCGAUGUCGGCUCAUCACAUCCUGGGGCUGAAGUAGGUCCCAAGGGUAUGGCUGUUCGCCAUUUAAAGUGGUACGCGAGCUGGGUUUAGAACGUCGUGAGACAGUUCGGUCCCUAUCUGCCGUGGGCGCUGGAGAACUGAGGGGGGCUGCUCCUAGUACGAGAGGACCGGAGUGGACGCAUCACUGGUGUUCGGGUUGUCAUGCCAAUGGCACUGCCCGGUAGCUAAAUGCGGAAGAGAUAAGUGCUGAAAGCAUCUAAGCACGAAACUUGCCCCGAGAUGAGUUCUCCCUGAGAC
rnacentral:rRNA from 1 species